rnacentral:rRNA from 1 species
GCUAGGAUGAACGCUAGCUACAGGCUUAACACAUGCAAGUCGAGGGGCAGCAUGAAGUUUGCUUGCAAACUUGAUGGCGACCGGCGCACGGGUGAGUAACGCGUAUCCAACCUGGCCCGCAGUAGGGAACAGCCCGGCGAAAGUCGGAUUAAUGCCCUAUGUCUUCCUUUGCAGGCAUCCAAUGAGGAAGAAAGAUUUAUCGCUGCGGGAUGGGGAUGCGUCUGAUUAGCUUGUCGGCGGGGUAACGGCCCACCGAGGCGACGAUCAGUAGGGGUUCUGAGAGGAAGGUCCCCCACACUGGUACUGAGACACGGACCAGACUCCUACGGGAGGCAGCAGUGAGGAAUAUUGGUCAAUGGGCGAGAGCCUGAACCAGCCAAGUAGCGUGCAGGACGAACUGCCCUAUGGGUUGUAAACUGCUUUUAUGCGGGGAUAAACUUCAGCACGUGUGCUGUUUUGCAGGUACCGCAUGAAUAAGGACCGGCUAAUUCCGUGCCAGCAGCGGC